rnacentral:rRNA from 1 species
UACGUAGGGUCCGAGCGUUGUCCGGAAUUACUGGGCGUAAAGAGCUCGUAGGUGGUUUGUCGCGUUGUUCGUGAAAACUCACAGCUCAACUGUGGGCGUGCGGGCGAUACGGGCGGACUUGAGUACUGCAGGGGAGACUGGAAUUCCUGGUGUAGCGGUGGAAUGCGCAGAUAUCAGGAGGAACACCAAUAGCGAAGGCAGCUCGCUGGGACGUUACUGACACUGAGGCGCGAAAGCGUGGGGAGCGAACAGG